UUAACUCAAAUUUGUGUGAAGUUGGAACGUUUGCCUACGUUUGCCGCUAGGGGCGCUGCUCCAACUGAAUAAAAAAAUGGUUUA
rnacentral:pre_miRNA from 1 species